rnacentral:rRNA from 1 species
GACGAACGCUGGCGGCGUGCUUAACACAUGCAAGUCGAACGAUGAAGCGGGUGCUUGCACUCGUGGAUUAGUGGCGAACGGGCGAGUAACACGUGAGUAACCUGUCCUUUUCUUUGGGAUAACGGCUGGAAACGGCUGCUAAUACUGGAUAUUCAGGCUGCAUCGCAUGGUGUGGUUUGGAAAGGUUUUUUCUGGGAUUGGGUGGGCUCGCGGCCUAUCAGCUUGUUGGUGGGGUGAUGGCUUACCAAGGCUUUGACGGGUAGCCGGCCUGAGAGGGUGGUCGGUCGCACUGGGACUGAGAUACGGCCCAGACUCCUACGGGAGGCAGCAGUGGGGAAUAUUGCACAAUGGACGAAAGUUUGAUGCAGCGACGCCGCGUGGAGGGUGUAGGCCUUCGGGUUGUGAACUCCUUUUUCUCGCGAAAAAGGCACAGUUUUGGCUGUGUUGAUGGCAGUGGGGGAAGAAGCGCCGGCUAACUACGUG